rnacentral:rRNA from 1 species
AAGCGUCUGUAGGCGGCGCAGAAAGUUAGGUGCGAAAUCUUGCGGCUCAACCGUAUAGACUGUGCUUAAAACUUCUGUGCUCGAGGUUGGUAGAGGCAAGUGGAACUUGCGGUGUAACAGUGACAUGUGUAGAUAUCGCAAAGAACACCAAUGGCGAAGGCAGCUUGCUGGGCCACACCUGACGCUCAGAGACGAAAGCGUGGGGAGCGAACGGGAUUAGAUACCCCGGUAGUCCACGCCGUAAACGAUGAUCACUAGUAGUAUGGGGAUUCGACCCUCUGUGCUACGAAGCUAACGCGAUAAGUGAUCCGCCUGGGGAGUACGAGCGCAAGCUUAAAACUCAAAGGAAUUGACGGGGACCCGCACAAGCAGUGGAUCAUGUGGUUUAAUUCGAGGCUAAGCGAAGAACCUUACCGAGACUUGACAUCCCAGGAAGUCAGUCGAAAGACAGAUGUGCCUUCGGGAACCUGGUGACAGGUGCUGCAUGGCCGUCGUCAGCUCGUGUCGUGAGAUGUUGGGUUAAGUCCCGCAACGAGCGCAACCCUUGUCGUCUGUUGUAUUUUCAGACGAGACUGCCCGGGCCAACCGGGAGGAAGGCGGGGAUGACGUCUGGUCAGCAUGGCCCUUACGUCUCGGGCCACACACGUGAUACAAUGGCCGGUACAAUGCGCUGCCAAGCCGCAAGGUGGAGCUAAUCGCAUCAAAACCGGUCUCAGUUCGGAUUGGGGGCUGAAACUCGCCCCCAUGAAGCUGGAAUUGCUAGUAAUGGCAGGUCAGCCACACUGCCGUGAAUACGUUCUCGGG